rnacentral:rRNA from 1 species
GAUGAACGCUGGCGGCGUGCCCAAUACAUGCAAGUCGAGCGAACGGACGAGAAGCUUGCUUCUCUGAUGUUAGCGGCGGACGGGUGAGUAACACGUGGAUAACCUACCUAUAAGACUGGGAUAACUUCGGGAAACCGGAGCUAAUACCGGAUAAUAUUUUGAACCGCAUGGUUCAAAAGUGAAAGACGGUCUUUCUGUCACUUAUAGAUGGAUCCGCGCUGCAUUAGCUAGUUGGUAAGGUAACGGCUUACCAAGGCAACGAUGCAUAGCCGACCUGAGAGGGUGAUCGGCCACACUGGAACUGAGACACGUUCCAGACUCCUACGGGAGGCAGCAGUAGGGAAUCUUCCGCAAUGGGCGAAAGCCUGACGGAGCAACGCCGCGUGAGUGAUGAAGGUCUUCGGAUCGUAAAACUCUGUUAUUAGGGAAGAACAUAUGUGUAAGUAACUGUGCACAUCUUGACGGUACCUAAUCAGAAAGCCACGGCUAACUACGUG